UUUACGGAGAGUUUGAUCCUGGCUCAGAACGAACGCUGGCGGCGCGCUUAAUACAUGCAAGUCGUGCGAGAAAGUCCGCUUCGGUGGGCGAGUAAAGCGGCGAACGGGUGCGUAACACGUGGGCAACUUGCCCUUUGGUUUGGGAUAAGCCACCGAAAGGGGGUCUAAUACCGAAUAAUAUCUUUCCUUCACAUGUGGGAAAGCUUAAAGAUCGCUUGCGAUCGCCAGAGGAUAGGCCCGCGGCCUAUUAGCUUGUUGGUGAGAUAAUAGCUUACCAAGGCAACGAUGGGUAGCCGUCCUGAGAGGGUGAACGGCCACACUGGGACUGAGAUACGGCCCAGACUCCUACGGGAGGCAGCAGUAGGGAAUAUUGCGCAAUGCCCGAAAGGGUGACGCAGCGACGCCGCGUGGGCGAUGAAGCUCCUUGGAGUGUAAAGCCCUGUCAGAAGGGAAGAACCGCACAGUAGUGAACUGCUGUGCCUGACGGUACCUUCAGAGGAAGCUCCGGCUAACUCCGUGCCAGCAGCCGCGGUAAUACGGAGGGAGCAAGCGUUGUUCGGAAUCACUGGGCGUAAAGGGCGCGCAGGCGGACCGGUAAGUCAGAUGUGAAAUCCCGAGGCUUAACCUCGGGUCUGCAUUUGAUACUGUCGGUCUUGAGUACGAGAGAGGAAAGCGGAAUCCCAGGUGGAGCGGUGAAAUGCGUAGAUAUCUGGGAGAACACCGGUGGCGAAGGCGGCUUUCUGGCUCGAUACUGACGCUCAGGCGCGAAGGCUAGGGGAGCAAACAGGAUUAGAUACCCUGGUAGUCCUAGCGGUAAACGAUGGGCACUAGGUGUUGGAGGUCUUACUCCUUCAGUGCCGCAGUUAACGCAUUAAGUGCCCCGCCUGGGGAGUACGGUCGCAAGAUUGAAACUCAAAGGAAUUGACGGGAGCCCGCACAAGCAGUGGAGUAUGUGGAUUAAUUCGAUGCAACGCGAAGAACCUUACCUGGGCUUGACAUCAACUGGAAAGCCGUAGA
rnacentral:rRNA from 1 species